UGGAUUUCCUUAUUCUUUUUUUAGUAUUUCUGGAAUUCUUAAAGAGGAGGUAGGCUCCUAAUAUUUAGUUGGGUGCAUGCAUAAUAACAUUGAUCAUGUUUGUUUCUUUCUUUUUAUCAAUGGUUCUGUACAGUUUUGCCACAUCAAUAGCAGUAUACCGAUAACCUGUAACCAUAUGUCUAGAUGAAAGGAUUGCAUACAUAAUCGUAAUGGUGCACUGGAUAAGCUUUAGUUAUGUAUGCCUGCUGGUGCUGCUGUGCUGGGAGGUAAAUCCCACCUAUUUGGCAAUCGAGCUCAAGUGAUUGUCAGAGAAUUUUAAAGUAUCAGAGCCAUUGAUUUAGAUUUGCAUUAUUUGUCACAUGCAUGUUUCUGUACAGUCCAUAUAGCUAUGGGGUCGGAUAGAAACAAAUAUUAAGCAAUUUUUAGAUUUGGGAUCUAUGUCUUGCCAUGUGUCCAGUGGAAAGAAUCUUUCUGUUUAUUGUCCAUGGAAUAUCCGCAGUUUAACAUGAUUCUAGAAUGCUCUGUUAUUUUUCAACGGCUUUCAUGUUUGCAAGAAUCUAUUCUAUUGGUUUUGGGGCCUGAAUGUGUAUUAUUAGGGAUGUAAGAUGGCCUUAUUUGAUGUGAUUUUUUUUCUCCUUUGUCCUGGUCAAUUAUUAUAGAACUUUAAGAAGCCCUUUUGUCAGGAAUCCCACAUUGACAAAUAUGAAUUGAAAGGGCAAUAUAUAAAUAGUUAGGUUGCAUCAUUAAAUUGAUUAGUAAUUUUGAUUUGUAAAGUAAUUAAAUCACUUAUAUAAGCCUAAAUUAAAAUGAAUUAAUAUGUAA
rnacentral:misc_RNA from 1 species